rnacentral:rRNA from 1 species
CAACCCUUGACAUGGGACGUAUGGGCUCGAGAGAUCGGGUCCUUCAGUUCGGCUGGCGUCCACACAGGUGCUGCAUGGCUGUCGUCAGCUCGUGUCGUGAGAUGUUGGGUUAAGUCCCGCAACGAGCGCAACCCUCAUCUUCAGUUGCCAUCAUUUGGUUGGGCACUCUGAAGAAACUGCCGGUGACAAGCCGGAGGAAGGCGGGGAUGACGUCAAGUCCUCAUGGCCCUUACGGGUUGGGCCACACACGUGCUACAAUGGCGGUGACAAUGGGGUGCAAAGGCGCGAGCCCGAGCCGAUCUCAAAAAGCCGUCUCAGUUCGGAUUGCACUCUGCAACUCGGGUGCAUGAAGUUGGAAUCGCUAGUAAUCGCGUAUCAGCACGACGCGGUGAAUACGUUCCC